UAAGACUGGUCUCUUGCUGUCUCUGCUCUUGAUGGGGCUAAGAGAAGAAAAAUUGUAAUACUCCUUCAUCACAGAAAAGGUGGAUUCUGUGAAGUGUUGGUGGGAAGAAGCUGGAGAGGGAGAAGAGUUGGACCUCUCUGCUGCCACUGCCAAAACAGAGCUCUAUCAGGAUAACCACUAUUACAUUCAAAGGGAGAGGUAUAAAUGGAAAGCAAAGCUCCCAUGGAGCAUUCUGCCUCCAGAAGCAGUUCCAACACUGGACGGAAAGUGGCAUUGCAAGACAGAAUUGGGCCAUUUGGUAGACCAGUAGAGUUUCUCCUGUAGCUGGGCAAGGCCAAAUAUAUACUUCUGCACCUCUGCUUGACCACAGUUCAUCUGGUUGCGGGACUUCUAAAUCACUGAGUGGCUUGGCCACUGCACGGUCAAGAGGCACGCCUCUACCAUUUGCACAGCUUUGUUGCAACAGAAGCGGUAAAACAUGCACAUGGUUUUCAGACUAAAGCUCCUGUCGUCUUUGGUGUGAGCUGGAUACUGGUUUUUCAGCACUAACCUUGGCCGAUCGGCGUUAGAAAGGAUACGGUCCCCACACUCAUACUCGAGUCAUUAGUGAUGGUGAGUGCCACUUGAAAGCGAUGCUGCGUCAACAUUGCUGUGUUAGUAAUAGUUGUUGCCUCAGUUAGAUGAUACUUUCUAAAUUGUUUCUAAUUGGAUAUUAUUUGUUUUCUGUACAUGUGAAAAAGGAGAAAUGAUAUGAUUUUUCAGAUAAAAUCUAA